UCCUGAAGCAGCUCUAAACAGUCUGAGGGA
rnacentral:piRNA from 1 species